rnacentral:lncRNA from 10 species
UUGUAAUAUCUCCUGUUUCGUUUCUUAUUGAGGUUAUUUGGCUUCUCUCUCUUCUUCUCUUGGUUAAUCUUGCUAAUGAUCUAUCAGUUUUAUUUAUCUUUUCAAAGAACCAGCUUUUUGUCUCAUUUAUCUUUUGUAUUUUUUGUUUGUUUCAAUUUCAUUUAGUUCUGCUCUCAUCUUGGCAGUUUUCUUAUUUCUGCUGGGUUUGAGUUUGGUUUGUUCUUGUUUCUGUAGUUCCUUGAGGUAUGACCUUAGAAUGUGAGUUUGUGCCCUUUCAGUCUUUUUGAUGUAGGUGCUUAGGGCUAUGAACUUUCAUCUUAGCACCGCCUUUGCUGUAUCCCAGAGGUUUUGAUAGGUUGUGUCAUUAUUGUCAUUCAGUUCAAAUAAUUUUUUAAUUUCCAUCUUGAUUUCAUUUUUGACUCAAUGCUCAUUCAGGAGGACGUUAUUUAAUUUCUAUGUAUUUGUAUGGUUCUGAAGGUUCCUUUUGGAGUUGAUUUCCAGUUUUAUUCCACUGUGAUCUGAGAGCGUGCUUGAUAUAAUUUCAAUUUUUUAAAAUUUAUUGAGGGUCGUUUUAUGGGCUAUCAUGUGCUGUAUCUUGGAGAAAGUUCCAUGCACUGUGUGUUCUGUGGUUGUUGGAUGAAAUGUUCUGUUUAUAUAUGUUAAGUCCAUUUGUUUUAAGGUAUAGUUUAAAUCCAUUGUUUCUUUGUUGAGUUUCUGUCUUGAUGUCCUGUCUAGUGCUGUCAGUGGAGUAGUGUAGGUCUUAGGUCUAUUCUUAGGUCUAUUAGUAAUUGUUUCUUAGGUCUAUUAGUAAUUGUUAUAUAAAUUUGGGAGCUGCAGUGUUAGGGGUGUGUGUGUGUGUG